GAUGAAGAACGUAGCGAAAUGCGAUAAGUAAUGUGAAUUGCAGAAUUCAGUGAAUCAUCGAAUCUUUGAACGCACAUUGCGCCCCCUGGUAUUCCGGGGGGCAUGCCUGUCCGAGCGUCAUUGCUGCCCUCAAGCACGGCUUGUGUGUUGGGCCCCCGCCCCCCGGCUUCGGGGGGCGGGCCCGAAAGGCAGCGGCGGCACCGCGUCCGGUCCUCGAGCGUAUGGGGCUUCGUCACCCGCUCUGUAGGCCCGGCCGGCGCCCGCCGGCGACCCCAAUCAAUCUUUCCAGGUUGACCUCGGAUCAGGUAGGGAUACCCGCUGAACUUAAGCAUAUCAAUAAGCGGAGGA
rnacentral:misc_RNA from 1 species